GACGAACGCUGGCGGCGUGCCUAAUACAUGCAAGUUGAGCGCUGAAGGUUGGUACUUGUACCAACUGGAUGAGCAGCGAACGGGUGAGUAACGCGUGGGGAAUCUGCCUUUGAGCGGGGGACAACAUUUGGAAACGAAUGCUAAUACCGCAUAAAAACUUUAAACACAAGUUUUAAGAUUGAAAGAUGCAAUUGCAUCACUCAAAGAUGAUCCCGCGUUGUAUUAGCUAGUUGGUGAGGUAAAGGCUCACCAAGGCGAUGAUACAUAGCCGACCUGAGAGGGUGAUCGGCCACAUUUGGACUUAGACACGGCCCAAACUCCUACGGGAGGCAGCCGUAGGGAAUCUUCGGCAAUGGACGAAAGUCUGACCGAGCAACGCCGCGUGAGUGAAGAAGGUUUUCGGAUCGUAAAACUCUGUUGGUAGGGAAGAACGUUGGUGAGAGUGGAAAGCUCAUCAAGUGACGGUAACUACCCAGAAAGGGACGGCUAACUACGUG
rnacentral:rRNA from 1 species